UACAGAGGGGGCAAGCGUUGUUCGGAAUUACUGGGCGUAAAGGGCGCGUAGGCGGCCGCCUAAGUCAGACGUGAAAUCCCUCGGCUCAACCGGGGAACUGCGUCUGAUACUGGGUGGCUUGAAUCCGGGAGAGGGAUGCGGAAUUCCAGGUGUAGCGGUGAAAUGCGUAAAUAUCUGGAGGAACACCGGUGGCGAAGGCGGCAUCCUGGACCGGCAUUGACGCUGAGGCGCGAAAGCCAGGGGAGCAAACGGG
rnacentral:rRNA from 1 species